CCCCCAGUAAGGGCGACUGAAAAGGGAAGAGCUCACCGUGUGAAUCUGCGCAUACCGCGCAAGCGGGCGCGCCGAAUUGUGGUCUGGAGAGACAUUGUCGACCGUGGUUCCGGGCCAAGUCCCUUGGAAAAGGGCAGCUGAGAGGGUGAAACUCCCGUUCUUGCCUGGGAUUUGCGUGUCAUGGCACGUGUUCUCAAAGAGUCGAGUUGCUUGGGAUUGCAGCUCAAAGUGGGUGGUAAAUUCCAUCUAAAGCUAAAUAUUGGUGGGAGACCGAUAGCGCACAAGUACCGUGAGGGAAAGAUGCAAAGAACUUUGAAAAGAGAGUUAAAGAGUACCUGAAAUUGCUGAAAGGGAAGCAAAGGAAACCAGUGCGUUGUGCGUGUCAUAUUUCUCCUGCUGCUUGCGGUGGGGGCGCUGUGGCCGUGCGUAGCGUCAGCAUCGGUUCGUACUUCGGAGCAAACGGUGUGGCUGGAGGUUAUUCCAUUACGGGAUGAAUGACAGCCGCUCUAAGUUCUGGAGGGGACCGAGGUUAGUCACAUGCUCGUGAUGCUGGCUAAAUGGUUUUCUUUACCCCGUCUUGAAACC
rnacentral:rRNA from 1 species